CUUACCGGCCACACCAAACCUGGCUAUGCCCGAUCUCGUCUGAUCUCGGAAGCUAAGCAGGUUUGGGCCUGUUUAGUACUUGGAUGGGAGACCGCCUGAAAAUACCAGGUGCUGGUAACU
rnacentral:rRNA from 1 species